UCAGCAUGAUAAAAACAUCUUAAGAGUAAGCCACAUCAACAAGAUUCUCAAAGUCUCUCCUUUAGGAGCCACGUGGCAUCAAGCAAAGGUCAAUUCCAUUUUCUUCUUCCGAGAUAUUCUAAUGCUUCCAAUUCUCUCCCACGUCUUCAUCAGUUACGCCAACGUCAACGCCAUAAUUGGGUCCUGCCUCCUUAAAUUUCUCUUCUAAACCUCACUUCCUCCUUAGAUCCUUCUUCACACCGUCUCUUUCUCUCCUUUUUUUACUCCAAUAUACUGUUUCCAGAUCGAGAUCUACAAAACUUCUUCAAAUCUGCUCUACAACAGUUUCACAGUAUUGUUGACACUACGGCACUACCUCCUCAUAACACAUCUCUUUUAAUUCGUUCCGAUUGGUCGUGUUUCAUACGUAGAAGAUGGUUGUCGAUCAUACAAACAAAAGACAAAAUCCUUCUACCGUUCCAACUUCCAAGGCGUAGUUGAUCAGCAAUCCAGAGAUCAAUAUUCACAUUAUGUUAACAAUACAAGUGCAGCCUUUUAAGCUACGCCAAACACUCGAUCAUGAGUACCAACAAGUAAGGUCUAAAUAUUAUGUUAGUAACAUUAUUUUCUGUUAUAGCUUUUACGCUUUUUUUUAGGUUGGUAGAAAGCUGUAUCAUGAUUCAUGAAUCAAAAUACCCCCAGAAGAUGUAGUUGCAUACACUUGAUUCUGAUA